AUUUUUUUCUUCCUAGUUUACGAAGAUGUAACUACUCCAACAUUCACGUUUUUAUGCUUGAAAGUAGUUUACAUUUUUACAACUUCCACAAAUUACAUGUGCAUUUUCACUUCUCCUCUUUCUUCACCAACCCUAAAUGCACACCCCACAUCCUACAUCCCACACCCACUCCUAUACAGGGCACUCACCCUCGUCCCUCUACAAGCUGUUACGCCAUCCCACUGCACCAUUGUUGCAUUGUCCCUCUACUUGACACCGUUGUGUUGUCCCGUUGCUCACCGUUUCGUACCAUCUCAUUGUGACGCCGCACUGCUCGAACCACUUCGUUUAGUUGUCAAAGAAGGUGGUGGAUAUGAGCGAGUUGUGGAGCCUCGUGUGUCAAGGUGUACCUGAUGCUACUGGGAUAUGUUCUACACUGUGGAAGGUUAGGUUUCUUUUUUUUUAUUAUUCCUUUUUUCCCUACAUUUUAGUCAUUUUUUUUAUAUUUUUAGGUGAAUUAGAUUUAUUUAGGGAAAAUGGAGCAAGGAUUUUUGCACUAGGGAUGUGGAUUCCAAAUAUGCGAGUGGCUUAUUCCCAUUCCAUUCCAACCAAAUAGGUCGUGUGUUCAUAAGUCUAACUUUUGCUUGGAUAUCUUCUACCAAAUUGCGGGCUUUGGUCAACUGAAUUAGCCAAGAAACUAGCAAUCACAGUACAAUGAUAACGAUGUUGAAUCGCUCAAAAUAAACUAGGAUUCUAACAAUUCUGUAGUAUAGGAAUAACCAAGGUCAACUCAGAGACACAAUCCAAUUAGGUUUCAACUUCAAUUCACUUAUAAAUCAAAGUAAGGGAUUUCAUCGAGCAGUUUGCAAACAAUUAAAAUUCAAAAGCAGAAUUAAAAAAUUAAUAGGAUUAUGAAACAAAUUUAAGGAGCAUCAAUGCAAUUCAUCAAAUCCAAACAAUUUGAAUUAUCAUAGUUUUCUAAAGAUGAUGAUCCUAUUAUAAAGGUUCAGUCAAUCUAAUUAGAGGUAACUCAACCGAACAAACCCUUAAUUACAUUAAGAUCACAAAUCAAAUUGAAGUAUCAUCCAAUUAAUCUGUAAUGAGGAUUCAAAAUAAGAAAUUAAUCAAUUACCUAAUUCAUUUCCAAUCCUAGACACAUUCAUAACCAUACAUACAAAAAUAGAAUUAGAGAAGAGGAUGCAGAUUCAUAACAAAAUUUGAAAUUGUUAACCAAAACUCAAAUUCAUCACCGCUUGAACUCGAUCCUUGGAUUGAUUAGUUGCUUAACCUUCCAUGAUCAUCACCAAUGAAAGAACAACGAGAAUUGAAAAAGAAAAGGGAAGAACAAAGUAGAAGAGAUGAAGAAAUAUGAAGUGAGAGAGAGUGAUUGACUAUGAGACGAACAUAAAGUUACAAACUGAUCAUGUACUACCAGGAAUCAACAAAGUUACAAUUAUAUCAACUUCUCACGAGACAAACAUCUCCAUCAUCUUUUUCUUUUUUGUAAGUAAAGAAAAUAGAAAACUACCGCUAAUCAAUAAUCAUUAAAUUUUGUUCUCCAAAUAUAACAUAAAGGAUAAUCUAUUUCCAUUCCUAUAUACAAGAAACCAACAUUUAAUUUAAUUAUCAAAACCAAUAAAAGUAGUUAAAUUAAUUGAUUUUAAUACAUAAUUGACAAAAUUAUGUAUUAGGAGUUAUAAGAUUGGGUUGGUGGUUGAAGGAAGAAGAAAAGAGAAAGAUGUGGUGGGUUCAAAUCUCUAUCACUAAUAUUUUAACAAAAUUAACAACUAAUAUUUUCUCAUAAAAAAAUUGUGCAAUAAGUAAUAUACAUUUGAUAUAUCUUCUAAAGUUUAAUUUAAUUAUACAAACACAAUAGGUAUGAAACUUAAUUUUCAUGUCAUUAUUUCAAAGGUAUGAAACUUCAACCACUCUUCACAUCUCCUUCUUUUGCUUUAUUUUUCUAAUCAAUUCUUGAGUAUUAAUUAGUAUCUACAUGACAACCUCUUCAUAAUAUUUUUUUAGUAUAUUAGCAUUUGUACACACAAGAAACUAGAAAUCAAAGAUAGGUUAAAAAUAAUAAUAAAGAAGAGAUCAAAAUUUUUCUUGAAGUUAUCUUAAUAUUAUUUUAAUUUUUUGGUUAA